rnacentral:rRNA from 1 species
CCUACGGGGGGCAGCAGUGGGGAAUAUUGGACAAUGGGGGGAACCCUGAUCCAGCCAUGCCGCGUGUGUGAAGAAGGCCCUCUGGUUGUAAAGCACUUUCAGUGAGGAAGAACGCCUGGUGGUUAAUACCCAUCAGGAAAGACAUCACUCACAGAAGAAGCACCGGCUAACUCCGUGCCAGCAGCCGCGGUAAUACGGAGGGUGCGAGCGUUAAUCGGAAUUACUGGGCGUAAAGCGCGCGUAGGUGGCUUGAUAAGCCGGUUGUGAAAGCCCCGGGCUCAACCUGGGAACGGCAUCCGGAACUGUCAAGCUAGAGUGCAGGAGAGGAAGGUAGAAUUCCCGGUGUAGCGGUGAAAUGCGUAGAGAUAGGGAGGAAUACCAGUGGCGAAGGCGGCCUUCUGGACUGAAACUGACACUGAGGUGCGAAAGCGUGGGUAGCAAACAGGAUUAGAUACCCUUGUAGUC